GGAAUCGUGGCCUAGCUGGUUAAGGCGCAGGUGUAUGUAUCCUGAAAUCGUGGGAUCGAAGCCCACCGAUUCCA
rnacentral:tRNA from 1 species